rnacentral:tRNA from 2 species
GCGCCCGUAGCUCAGUGGUAGAGCGUUUCGUUGACAUCGAAAAGGCCAGAAGUUCGAUCCUUCUCGGGCGCACCA